rnacentral:rRNA from 1 species
AGUUUGAUCCUGGCUCAGAUUGAACGCUGGCGGCAGGCUUAACACAUGCAAGUCGAGCGGAAACGAUGAUAGCUUGCUAUCAGGCGUCGAGCGGCGGACGGGUGAGUAAUACUUAGGAAUCUACCUAGUAGUGGGGGAUAGCACGGGGAAACUCGUAUUAAUACCGCAUACGACCUACGGGAGAAAGGGGGCAGUUUACUGCUCUCGCUAUUAGAUGAGCCUAAGUCGGAUUAGCUAGAUGGUGGGGUAAAGGCCUACCAUGGCGACGAUCUGUAGCUGGUCUGAGAGGAUGAUCAGCCACACCGGGACUGAGACACGGCCCGGACUCCUACGGGAGGCAGCAGUGGGGAAUAUUGGACAAUGGGGGAAACCCUGAUCCAGCCAUGCCGCGUGUGUGAAGAAGGCCUUUUGGUUGUAAAGCACUUUAAGCAGUGAAGAAGACUCCGUGGUUAAUACCCACGGACGAUGACAUUAGCUGCAGAAUAAGCACCGGCUAACUCUGUGCCAGCAGCCGCGGUAAUACAGAGGGUGCAAGCGUUAAUCGGAAUUACUGGGCGUAAAGGGAGCGUAGGUGGCUCUAUAAGUCAGAUGUGAAAUCCCCGGGCUCAACCUGGGAACUGCAUCUGAAACUGUAGAGCUAGAGUAUGUGAGAGGAAGGUAGAAUUCCAGGUGUAGCGGUGAAAUGCGUAGAGAUCUGGAGGAAUACCGAUGGCGAAGGCAGCCUUCUGGCAUAAUACUGACACUGAGGCUCGAAAGCGUGGGUAGCAAACAGGAUUAGAUACCCUGGUAGUCCACGCCGUAAACGAUGUCUACUAGUCGUUGGGUCCCUUGAGGACUUAGUGACGCAGCUAACGCAAUAAGUAGACCGCCUGGGGAGUACGGCCGCAAGGUUAAAACUCAAAUGAAUUGACGGGGGCCCGCACAAGCGGUGGAGCAUGUGGUUUAAUUCGAUGCAACGCGAAGAACCUUACCUGGUCUUGACAUAUCUAGAAUCCUGCAGAGAUGCGGGAGUGCCUUCGGGAAUUAGAAUACAGGUGCUGCAUGGCUGUCGUCAGCUCGUGUCGUGAGAUGUUGGGUUAAGUCCCGCAACGAGCGCAACCCUUGUCCUUAGUUACCAGCGGGUUAAGCCGGGAACUCUAAGGAUACUGCCAGUGACAAACUGGAGGAAGGCGGGGACGACGUCAAGUCAUCAUGGCCCUUACGACCAGGGCUACACACGUGCUACAAUGGUAGGUACAGAGGGCAGCUACACAGCGAUGUGAUGCGAAUCUCAAAAAGCCUAUCGUAGUCCAGAUUGGAGUCUGCAACUCGACUCCAUGAAGUAGGAAUCGCUAGUAAUCGCGGAUCAGAAUGCCGCGGUGAAUACGUUCCCGGGCCUUGUACACACCGCCCGUCACACCAUGGGAGUUGAUUGCACCAGAAGUGGAUAGCUUAACCUUCGGGGAGGCGUUCACCACGGUGUGGUUGAUGACUGGGGUGAAGUCGUAACAAGGUAGCCGUAGG